CCUACGGGAGGCAGCAGUGAGGAAUAUUGGUCAAUGGACGAGAGUCUGAACCAGCCAAGUAGCGUGAAGGAUGACUGCCCUAUGGGUUGUAAACCUCUUUUAUAUGGGAAUAAAACGUUCCACGUGUGGGAUUUUGUAUGUACCAUAUGAAUAAGGAUCGGCUAACUCCGUGCCAGCAGCCGCGGUAAUACGGAGGAUCCGAGCGUUCUCCGGAUUUAUUGGGUUUAAAGGGAGCGUAGGUGGAUUGUUAAGUCAGUUGUGAAAGUUUGCGGCUCAACCGUAAAAUUGCAGUUGAAACUGGCAGUCUUGAGUACAGUAGAGGUGGGCGGAAUUCGUGGUGUAGCGGUGAAAUGCUUAGAUAUCACGAAGAACUCCGAUUGCGAAGGCAGUUCACUGGACUGCAACUGACACUGAGGCUCGAAAGUGUGGGUAUCAAACAGGAUUAGAUACCCGAGUAGUC
rnacentral:rRNA from 1 species